rnacentral:rRNA from 1 species
AGAGUUUGAUCAUGGCUCAGGAUGAACGCUAGCGGCAGGCUUAACACAUGCAAGUCGAGGGGUAGAAGCAGCUUGCUGCUUUGAGACCGGCGCACGGGUGCGUAACGCGUAUACAAUCUACCUUUUACAGAGGGAUAGCCCAGAGAAAUUUGGAUUAAUACCUCAUAGUAUUUUCGAAUCGCAUGGUUUGAUUAUUAAAGUUCCAACGGUAAAAGAUGAGUAUGCGUCCCAUUAGCUAGAUGGUAAGGUAACGGCUUACCAUGGCAACGAUGGGUAGGGGUCCUGAGAGGGAGAUCCCCCACACUGGUACUGAGACACGGACCAGACUCCUACGGGAGGCAGCAGUGAGGAAUAUUGGACAAUGGGCGCAAGCCUGAUCCAGCCAUGCCGCGUGCAGGAAGACGGUCCUAUGGAUUGUAAACUACUUUUAUACAGGAAGAAACACACCCUCGUGAGGGUACUUGACGGUACUGUAUGAAUAAGCAUCGGCUAACUCCGUGCCAGCAGCCGCGGUAAUACGGAGGGAUGCAAGCGUUAUCCGGAAUCCUUGGGUUUAAAGGGUCC